rnacentral:rRNA from 1 species
CACGGUAAACGAUGGAUGCCCGCUGUAUGCGAUACAAUGUAUGCGGUCAAGCGAAAGCGUUAAGCAUCCCACCUGGGGAGUACGCCGGCAACGGUGAAACUCAAAGGAAUUGACGGGGGCCCGCACAAGCGGAGGAACAUGUGGUUUAAUUCGAUGAUACGCGAGGAACCUUACCCGGGCUUGAACUGCAGCGGAAGGCGGCAGAGAUGCCAACGCCCUUCGGGGCCGCUGUGGAGGUGCUGCAUGGUUGUCGUCAGCUCGUGCCGUGAGGUGUCGGCUUAAGUGCCAUAACGAGCGCAACCCCUCUCCGUAGUUGCCAUCGGGUGAUGCCGGGCACUCUGCGGACACUGCCACCGCAAGGUGCGAGGAAGGUGGGGAUGACGUCAAAUCAGCACGGCCCUUACGUCCGGGGCUACACACGUGUUACAAUGGGGGGCACAGCGAGCUGGGCGUACGCAAGUGCGUCCGAAUCAAGAAAUCCCCCCUCAGUUCGGACUGGGGUCUGCAACCCGACC